CUAUGAUUCAGCUGAUGAUGAUGGUAAUAAUAAUUCUGACUUUAUUAAUAUUAUUGAAAAAAUUUCUGGAAACCAUGACAUUAAUGGUCAAUCUAGAUAUUUUAAUAUUGAUGAAUAUGUGUUAGCUACUAAUCCUUACCAUAAUCAGUAUAUUAACAUAAUUCAUUUAAAUAUUAGGUCUCUUUCUAAAAACUUUGAUUACCCAAAAUUAAUGUGAAAUUGUCUCCCGAAGCACCCAGAUGUCCUUGCACUCACAGAAACAUGGCUAAAUGAAUCUACCAAACAUCUUUUCUUUAUGGAAGGAUACUCUGCAUUCCAUCUGGUUAGAACUAACAAGGAACACGGAGGUAUCAGUAUUUUUAAAUCAACUCCAAGAUCUCCUCCCAACCCAUGAACAUAGGACACGUAAUCGUGGUAACCUCCUACAUCCAGCUCAUCGCCUCACAAAAUUUCGCCAUUCAAUUUUAUACAUAGGUCCUGUUGUAUGGAACACUAUACCACCUCACAUACAAAAUGUUCCUUCCCUUAGUAUAUUUAAAAA